UAUAAAAUGAGUCUGGUAUAGCUU
rnacentral:siRNA from 1 species